ensembl:ncRNA W09C5.15 ncRNA
UUGUCAACUAACAAAAUGUAGAACAUUUAAUUUCCUAUAUUUUGUUAGUUAAUUACUUUUUGAUAG